UGGGGAAUUUUGGACAAUGGGCGCAAGCCUGAUCCAGCAAUGCCGCGUGUGUGAAGAAGGCCUUCGGGUUGUAAAGCACUUUUGUCCGGAAAGAAAUCCGUCUGGCUAAUACCCGGACGGGAUGACGGUACCGGAAGAAUAAGCACCGGCUAACUACGUGCCAGCAGCCGCGGUAAUACGUAGGGUGCGAGCGUUAAUCGGAAUUACUGGGCGUAAAGCGUGCGCAGGCGGCUUUGUAAGACAGAUGUGAAAUCCCCGGGCUCAACCUGGGAACUGCAUUUGUGACUGCAAGGCUAGAGUGCGUCAGAGGGAGGUGGAAUUCCGCGUGUAGCAGUGAAAUGCGUAGAGAUGCGGAGGAACACCAAUGGCGAAGGCAGCCUCCUGGGAUGACACUGACGCUCAUGCACGAAAGCGUGGGGAGCAAACA
rnacentral:rRNA from 1 species